CCAAUAGCGUAUAUUAAAGUUGUUGCAGUUAAAAAGCUCGUAGUUGAAUUUCAGGAUUCUAUCGUUGGUCGGGCUAUUGUCUGUACUGGCGUGUAGAAUUUCUACCUUCUGGGGAACUAUCAUGUUAUUAAUUUAGCGUGGUAGGAAACCAGGACCUUUACCUUGAAAAAAUUAGAGUGUUCAAAGCAGGCUUAUGUCUGAAUACAUUAGCAUGGAAUAAUAAAAUAGGACGGCGGUCCUGUUUUGUUGAUUUCUGAAUCACCGUAAUGAUUAAUAGGGAUAGUUGGGGGCAUUAGUAUUCAAUUGUCCGAGGUGAAAUUCUUGGAUUUAUUGAAGACUAACUACUGCGAAAGCAUUUGCCAAGGAUGUUUUCAUUAAUCAAGAACGAAAGUUAGGGGAUCGAAGAUGAUCAGAUGCCGUCGUAGUCUUAACCAUAAACUAUGCCGACUAGGGAUCGGACGAUGUUAACUUUUUUUGACUCGUUCGGCGCCUUAUG
rnacentral:rRNA from 1 species